CAUGUAGGCGGAUUAAUAAGUUUGAAGUGAAAUCCUAUAGCUUAACUAUAGAACUGCUUUGAAAACUGUUAAUCUAGAGUGUGGGAGAGGUAGAUGGAAUUUCUGGUGUAGGGGUAAAAUCCGUAGAGAUCAGAAGGAAUACCGAUUGCGAAGGCGAUCUACUGGAACAUUAUUGACGCUGAGAUGCGAAAGCGUGGGGAGCAAACA
rnacentral:rRNA from 1 species